UACGUAGGCAGCGAGCGUUGUUCGGAAUUACUGGGCGUAAAGAGUGUGUAGGCGGUGCUCCCAGUCUGUUGUGAAAUCUCCCGGCUUAACUGGGAGGGUGCAGCGGAAACUAGAGUGCUAGAGGGUGGGAGAGGUAAGCGGAAUUCCUGGUGUAGCGGUGGAAUGCGCAGAUAUCAGGAGGAACACCGGUGGCGAAGGCGGGUCUCUGGGCAGUAACUGACGCUGAGGAGCGAAAGCGUGGGGAGCGAACAGG
rnacentral:rRNA from 1 species